rnacentral:tRNA from 2 species
GGGGUUAUAGCUCAGUUGGUAGAGCGCCUGCUUUGCAAGCAGGAUGUCAGGAGUUCGAGUCUCCUUAACUCCA